rnacentral:rRNA from 1 species
UACGAAGGGGGCUAGCGUUGUUCGGAAUGACUGGGCGUAAAGGGCGCGUAGGCGGUUUGGUCAGUCAGCUGUGAAAUUCCUGGGCUCAACCUGGGGGCUGCAUUUGAUACGUUCGGACUAGAGUGGGGAAGAGGGUCGUGGAAUUCCCAGUGUAGAGGUGAAAUUCGUAGAUAUUAGGAAGAACACCGGUGGCGAAGGCGGCGACCUGGUCCUUGACUGACGCUGAGGCGCGAAAGCGUGGGGAGCAAACAGG